rnacentral:rRNA from 1 species
GCCGGUGAUUAUUGCGUUGGUGUUAUACCCGAUCCCAUUCCGAACUCGGAAGUCAAGCCUAACUGCGCCGAUGGUACUUUGUCUUAAGGCAUGGAAGAGUAGGUCGUCGCCGGCA